CGACCGGCGCACGGGUGAGUAACACGUAUGCGACCUGCCCGUAGCAGGGGGAUAAGCGGAAGAAAUUCCGUCUAAUACCGCGUAAUAUCUUUCGGGGGCAUUCCUGAGGGAUUAAAGGAAGCGAUUCCGGCUACGGAUGGGCAUGCGGCGCAUUAGCUAGUCGGCGGGGUAACGGCCCACCGAGGCGACGAUGCGUAGGGGUUCUGAGAGGAAGGUCCCCCACACUGGUACUGAGACACGGACCAGACUCCUACGGGAGGCAGCAG
rnacentral:rRNA from 1 species